CCUACGGGUGGCAGCAGUGAGGAAUAUUGGUCAAUGGGCGCGAGCCUGAACCAGCCAAGUCGCGUGAGGGAAGACGGUCCUAGGGAUUGUAAACUCCUUUUGCCGGGGAGCAAAAGACGCCACGCGUGGCGUUCCGAGAGUACCCGACGAAAAAGCAUCGGCAAACUCGGUGCCAGCAGCCGCGGAAAUGCGGAGGAUGCGGGCGUUAUCCGGAUUUAUUGGGUUUAAAGGGGGCGAAGGCGGAAGAUCAAGUCAGCGGGAAAAUUGAGAGGCUAACGCUCUUCGUGCCGUUGAAACUGGUUAUCUUGAGUGUGCGAGAGGCAUGCGGAAUGCGUGGUGUAGCGGUGAAAUGCGUAGAUAUCAGGCGGAACACCAGUUGCGAAGGCAGCAUACCGGCGCUCAACUGACGCUGAUGCGCGAAAGUGUGGGUAGCGAACAGGAUUAGAUACCCGGGUAGUC
rnacentral:rRNA from 1 species